AUGCUCGAUGACGAGGAGAUCAUGGGGUACAUGCUUGCUGGACUUGGUCCUGAGUAUGAUCCCCUUGUCACGUCGAUCACCACCCGCACCAACCCGGUAUCUCUUAACGAGUUUUAUUCCUAUUUUCUGAUCUUCAAAA
rfam:Brachypodium distachyon strain Bd21 chromosome 3, whole genome shotgun sequence.